rnacentral:rRNA from 1 species
UACGAGGUGGCAGCGUUAAUCGGAAUUACUGGGCGUAAAGCGCGCGUAGGUGGUUCAGCAAGUUGGAUGUGAAAUCCCGAGGCUCAACCUCGGAACUGCCUUCAAAACUGGCGACCUGGACUCAAGUAGAGGCAAGUGGAAUUGCGAGUGUAGAGGUGAAAUUCGUAGAUAUUCGCAGGAACACCAGUGGCGAAGGCGACUUGCUGGACUUGUAGUGACGCUGAGACGCGAAAGCGUGGGGAGCAAACAGGAUUAGAUACCCCAGUAGU